CCCCGGCUAACUCCGUGCCANCAGCCGCGGUAAUACGGGGGGGGCAAGCGUUGUUCNGAAUUACUGGGCGUNAAGGGCUCGUAGGCGGCCAACUAANUCCGACNUGAAAUCCCAAGGCUUAACCUUGGAACUGCNUCNGAUACUGGAUGGCUUGAAAUCNGGAGAGGGAUGCANAAUUCCAGGUGUAGCGGUGAAAUGCGUANAUAUCUGGAGGAAUACCGGUGGCGAAGGCNGCAUCCUGGACCGACAUUGACGCUGAGGANCGAAAGCUAGGGGANCAAACGGGAUUANAUACCCCGGUAGUCCUAGCCCUAAACGAUGAAUGCUUGGUGUGGCGGGUAUCGAUCCCUGCCGUGCC
rnacentral:rRNA from 1 species